CAAGAAGCUCUGGGAUCAAUUAAAAUGCCAGGCUUUUCCAGGCUGGUUUCCAGCGCAUCUGUGCAUGAUUCCACAUAAAUUUAGGGAAUUAGAGAUCAGACAAAGUUACAAGACAGCUGUUGAUGUUUCUGCCACCAGUAAGGAGGACCGGGAAGAAGCUGCUUUCCAGGAAAUCCCAGUCAACUUCCAAAUAGAUCUCUUUGGUCAAAAAUGUGUCACCCAUCCAACUCUUUUUGUAAGAUGAUGAGAACACAGGCAGGGACCACAUCUGACUUAUCUCUAGCUCCAGGUACUAAAGAGCCACUGGGAAGAGCUCAGUCAUAUAAUCCAAUACUAUCCAAAUAAACAUGAAUACAGAGUCCCUAUCCAAGGCAUUGAACAAGAACAUCAGGAACACUGCAGGCAGUCAAUAAAUAUUUAAUCAACAAAUAAAUGAGGUCUCUAAU